UACGUAGGGGGGCAAGCGUUGUCCGGAAUCAUUGGGCGUAAAGCGCGUGUAGGCGGCUUCGUCAGUCCGUUGUGAAAGUCCAGGGCUCAACCCUGGAAUGCCGAUGGAUACUGCGGAGCUAGAGUACGGAAGAGGCGAGUGGAAUUCCUGGUGUAGCGGUGAAAUGCGCAGAUAUCAGGAGGAACACCGGUGGCGAAGGCGACACCCUGGACUCAUACUGACACUGAGGUGCGAAAGCGUGGGGAGCAAACAGG
rnacentral:rRNA from 1 species